ACUAUACACAACUCCUCCAUAUUCAACACUUGUUGCAAAUCCAUUUAACUCUGUAAAUAUUCUUGCUGGCCAAAAUCCAACUGCCGUAUAGGUUGAUCCAAAAUUAAGCCACCAAUUUCAAUUUGACAUGUCCUAUAUAACCAAAAAGAAGAAAAAAAAGUGAUCACAAAGGUUUAUGGAGGGAUUUUUUUUUAAUUGAAUAUGGACCCUAUGGACACAAUUUUAUUUAUUUAAACAAGAAAAUAAAACCAAGUCCGUACAAAAGAGAGCAGCCCAAUAGUGACAUGCUUUUGAAAAUAAUAAUAAUAAAGAAAGUAAGAAAAUGAAGAGGCAAAUGAAUCAGAAGAAAAUGAAGAGGCAAAUGAAUCAGAAACUCCGCAAAUUCCUCUCCAUUAUCUUCCAUCAUUUGAGCAAAUAGGAAAGUGAUGACCUGCUGUGAACCAAACCAACAAAAAUGUUCAACGAUGAGCUCCCUGAGCGACCUUCCGGCGAGCUUCUGAUUAACCGAUCACAACCUGCUUCAAUUGGAUUUCUGGAGUUUUUUUCAGGUCUCCACUUGGAAAAUAGCCACUGCCCAUGGGAGGUUCUGGAACACCUCGACUACUAUGUACAACUCCGCCAUAUUCAGCACCUGUUGCAAAUCCAUUUAAAUUUGCAAAAAUCUUUGCUCGCCAAAAUCCAACUUCUAUACUGUUAGAGUUUACCAAAAGCCACCAAUCUCCACUUGACGUAUCCUAUAAAUGGUAAAAGAAAAACAAGUCAGAUAAAUAACCAAAAGGUCAGAGAUAAUAAGAUCAUCUUAAAAGAUAAAUUACAUGUCAUUCAAUAUAUGUGAUAAAGAUUUAUUAGUAAUCUAGAAUAAAUGAUAAGUGAUAUGCUGUAACAAGUCAAAGUACAAGAAUAUAUAGAGUAUUUUCUUUUUAGAUUA